rnacentral:rRNA from 1 species
UACGUAGGGGGCAAGCGUUGUCCGGAUUUAUUGGGCGUAAAGAGCGUGUAGGCGGUUUGGUAGGUCCGUUGUGAAAACUCGAGGCUCAACCUCGAGACGCCGAUGGAAACCAUCAGACUAGAGUCCGGAAGAGGAGAGUGGAAUUCCUGGUGUAGCGGUGAAAUGCGCAGAGUAUCAGGAAGAACACCCGUGGCUAAGGCGGCUCUCUAGUACGGUACUGACGCUGAGACGCGAAAGCGUGGGGAGCGAACAGG